GUUUGGCACCUCGAUGUCGGCUCAUCACAUCCUGGGGCUGAAGCAGGUCCCAAGGGUUCGGCUGUUCGCCGAUUAAAGUGGUACGUGAGCUGGGUUUAGAACGUCGCGAGACAGUUCGGUCCCUAUCUCAUGUGGGCGUAGGAUACUUGAGAGGAGCUGUCCCUAGUACGAGAGGACCGGGACGGACGAACCUCUGGUGCACCAGUUGUCGCGCCAGCGGCACAGCUGGGUAGCUAUGUUCGGUUCGGAUAACCGCUGAAAGCAUCUAAGCGGGAAGCCAGCCUCGAGAUGAGGUAUCCCUGAAGACCCCUGGCAGAUUACCAGGUUGAUAGGCGGGGCGUGUAAGCGCUGCGAGGCGUUUAGCUAACCCGUACUAAUCGGUCGUUCGGCUUGACCAU
rnacentral:rRNA from 1 species